rnacentral:lncRNA from 10 species
GGGAUUACAGGCAUGAGCCACCAUGCUCGGCUGUUCCUUCUGAUCUUAGAUGAUGUCUUAGUGAUUUCACUUACUUUCUAUUCCUUAGAAAAAGAACUCAGAAUAUCCCAUGCUAGGGAUGUACAUGUCUACAUCCCUACAGAGGUACAAUUCUGGUCACACUGCUCUUACCCUUAAAACCCUUAAUUUAUCCUAACUUCCCACAUGCAUAAACUCCAGACUCAACAAGACAUAUAGUAAGGCCUUUCUUGGUCUGCCUGCCUGCAUUUCGAGGCCCAUCUUCCCACAUCCUCCCCCUACAUUCUCCACUACAUGUUUUCCCCCAAAUAAGCCAAACCCUUUCCCUCAGUGGGCUUGAGAACACCUCUACCUCUCCUUCAACAACAAUGAAAUAAUAAUGCAGCUACUCACUGAACACACAUACAUCACUUUACAUAUAGCAGGUAGCUCUUAGCCUCAUAAGUGAGGCCUUAUUUUGCACAUUUUACAAAUAAGAAAACUGGGACUCAGAGAGGUUAAGUAAUGUACCCAAGAUCAAUUAGUACAUGACAAUCGUGAUUUGAACCCAUCUUUCUUGCUGCAAAGCCUGUGAUCAUCCUCCUCUGCCGGGCUGGUCUCCCUCUUCUUUCUUUUUUCUCUUUCUUUCUUCUUCUUUUUUUUUUUU